rnacentral:sRNA from 1 species
AAAGCCAAAAGAAGAAUGCCACAACUCCCUUGAAACAGUGGAAAGUUGGUGACAAGUGUUCUGCUGUUUGGUCAGAAGACGGCUGCAUUUACCCAGCUACUAUUACGUCCAUUGACUUUGAAAGUCAAGUUUCCACAGACGACAGUGAACACUCCUCCAGAUCGCAAAGAACGGUGACAUUUGUGAAACUCCAGAUAAGCCAAAAGGCACAGCCAGAAGAAAACCUGCCAAGAAGAAUAAAAGCCAAAAGAAGAAUGCCACAACUCCCUUGAAACAGUGGAAAGUUGGUGACAAGUGUUCUGCUGUUUGGUCAGAAGACGGCUGCAUUUACCCAGCUACUAUUACGUCCAUUGACUUUGAAAGUCAAGUUUCCACAGACGACAGUGAACACUCCUCCAGAUCGCAAAGAACGGUGACAUUUGUGAAACUCCAG